CCUACGGGCGGCAGCAGUGAGGAAUAUUGGUCAAUGGGCGCGAGCCUGAACCAGCCAAGUAGCGUGAAGGAUGACUGCCCUACGGGUUGUAAACUUCUUUUAUAAAGGAAUAAAGUGAGGCACGUGUGCCUUUUUGUAUGUACUUUAUGAAUAAGGAUCGGCUAACUCCGUGCCAGCAGCCGCGGUAAUACGGAGGAUGCGAGCGUUAUCCGGAUUUAUUGGGUUUAAAGGGUGCGUAGGCGGGUUAUCAAGUCAGCGGUAAAAUCGUGGAGCUCAACUCCAUCCAGCCGUUGAAACUGAUGAUCUUGAGUGGGCGAGAAGUAUGCGGAAUUCGUGGUGUAGCGGUGAAAUGCUUAGAUAUCACGAAGAACUCCGAUUGCGAAGGCAGCUUACUAAACUGCCACUGACAUUGAUGCUCGAAAGUGUGGGUAUCAAACAGGAUUAGAUACCCCUGGUAGUC
rnacentral:rRNA from 1 species